rnacentral:rRNA from 1 species
ACAGUGGAGAGUUUGAUCCUGGCUCAGGAUGAACGCUGGCUACAGGCUUAACACAUGCAAGUCGAGGGGAAACGGCAUUGAGUGCUUGCACUGAAUGGACGUCGACCGGCGCACGGGUGAGUAACGCGUAUCCAACCUUCCCGUUACUGCGGGAUAACCUGCCGAAAGGCAGACUAAUACCGCAUGUUCUUCGAUGACGGCAUCAGAUUCGAAGCAAAGAUCCGUCGGUAACGGAGGGGGAUGCGUCUGAUUAGCUUGUUGGCGGGGCAACGGCCCACCAAGGCGACGAUCAGUAGGGGUUCUGAGAGGAAGGUCCCCCACAUUGGAACUGAGACACGGUCCAAACUCCUACGGGAGGCAGCAGUGAGGAAUAUUGGUCAAUGGGCGGAAGCCUGAACCAGCCAAGUAGCGUGCAGGAUGACGGCCCUACGGGUUGUAAACUGCUUUUAUGCGGGGAUAAAGUGAGGGACGCGUCCCUUUUUGCAGGUACCGCAUGAAUAAGGACCGGCUAAUUCCGUGCCAGCAGCCGCGGUAAUACGGAAGGUCCGGGCGUUAUCCGGAUUUAUUGGGUUUAAAGGGAGCGUAGGCCGGGGAUUAAG